rnacentral:rRNA from 1 species
UCUACCUUAUACAUUGGGAUAGCCCGGAGAAAUUCGGAUUAAUACCUUAUAGUAUAUUAAAGUGGCAUCAUUUUAAUAUUAAAGAUUUAUCGGUAUAAGAUGAGCAUGCGUCCCAUUAGUUAGUUGGUGUGGUAACGGCAUACCAAGACUAUGAUGGGUAGGGGUCCUGAGAGGGAGAUCCCCCACACUGGUACUGAGACACGGACCAGACUCCUACGGGAGGCAGCAGAGAGGAAUAUUGGUCAAUGGACGGAAGUCUGAACCAGCCAUGCCGCGUGCAGGAAGAAUGUCCUAUGGAUUGUAAACUGCUUUUAUACGGGAAGAAACGCAUCGACGUGUCGAUGUUUGACGGUACCGUAAGAAUAAGGAUCGGCUAACUCCGUGCCAGCAGCCGCGGUAAUACGGAGGAUCCUAGCGUUAUCCGGAAUUAUUGGGUUUAAAGGGUCCGUAGGCGGCUUGAUAAGUCAGCGGUGAAAGUUUUUGGCUUAACCAAAAAAUUGCCGUUGAUACUGUUUAGCUUGAAUAAUUGUGAAUUAACUAUAAUAUGUAGUGUAACGGUGCAAUUGCUUAGAUAUUACAUGGAAUACCACUUGCACCUGCACGUUAC